rnacentral:rRNA from 1 species
ACGAACGCUGGCGGCAUGCCUAACCCAUGCCAGUCGCACGAGACCUUCGGGUCUAGUGGCGCACGGGUGCGUAACGCGUGGGAACCUGCCCUUAGGUUCGUAAUAACUCCCCGAAAGGGGUGCUAAUACCGGAUAAUGUCUUCGGACCAAAGAUUUAUCGCCUUUGGAUGGGCCCGCGUUGGAUUAGCUAGUUGGUAGGGUAAAAGCCUACCAAGGCGACGAUCCAUAGCUGGUCUGAGAGGAUGAUCAGCCACACUGGGACUGAGACACGGCCCAGACUCCUACGGGAGGCAGCAGUGGGGAAUAUUGGACAAUGGGCGAAAGCCUGAUCCAGCAAUGCCGCGUGAGUGAUGAAGGCCUUAGGGUUGUAAAGCUCUUUUACCCGGGAUGAUAAUGACAGUACCGGGAGAAUAAGCUCCGGCUAACUCCGUG